rnacentral:piRNA from 1 species
CCAUUGCCUGACAGGAUUCCUGU